rnacentral:rRNA from 1 species
UGCUUUGGUGCCUUCGGGAACUCUGAGACAGGUGCUGCAUGGCUGUCGUCAGCUCGUGUUGUGAAAUGUUGGGUUAAGUCCCGCAACGAGCGCAACCCUUAUCCUUUGUUGCCAGCGGUCCGGCCGGGAACUCAAAGGAGACUGCCAGUGAUAAACUGGAGGAAGGUGGGGAUGACGUCAAGUCAUCAUGGCCCUUACGAGUAGGGCUACACACGUGCUACAAUGGCGCAUACAAAGAGAAGCGAACUCGCGAGAGCAAGCGGACCUCAUAAAGUGCGUCGUAGUCCGGAUUGGAGUCUGCAACUCGACUCCAUGAAGUCGGAAUCGCUAGUAAUCGUAGAUCAGAAUGCUACGGUGAAUACGUUCCCGG